GAUGAACGCUGGCGGCGUGCCUAAUACAUGCAAGUCGAGCGAACAGACGAUGAGCUUGCUCCUCGCACGUUAGCGGCGGACGUGUGAGUAACACGUGUAUAACCUACCUAUAAGACUGGGAUAACUUCGGGACACCGGAGCUAAUACCGGAUAAUAUAUUGAACCGCAUUGUUCAAUAGUAAAAGACGGUUUUGCUGUCACUUAUAGAUGGAUCUGCGCCGCAUUAGCUAGUUGGUAAGGACACGGGUUAUCAAGGCUACGAUGCGUAGCCGACCGGAGGGAGUGAUAGGCCACCUGGGAACUGAGACACGGUCAAGACGACUACGGGAGGCAGCAGUAGGGAACGUGAGGCAAUGGGCGAAAGCCUGACGGAGCAACGCCGAGUGAGUGAUGAAGGCCUUCCGAUCGUAAAAACCGGUUAUGAGGGAAGAACAAAUGUGUAAGUAAAUAUGGACGUAUUGACGGUAACUAGUCAGAAAGCAACGGCUAACUACGUG
rnacentral:rRNA from 1 species